GCAAACCUCAAGUAUCCAUACGUGAAUCCAUAGCGUAUGGAAGGGAACGCUGUGAACUGAAACAUCUAAGUAGCAGUAGGAGGAGAAAGAAAACUCGAUUUCCUAAGUAGCGGCGAGCGAACGGGAAAGAGGCCAAACCGAAGGACCUGGUUCUUCGGGGUUGCGGACUGCAAUUAGCAUUGCUGAGAGAUAGACGAAUGGUUUUGGGAAAGCCAGCCGUAGACGGUGAAAGCCCGGUAGACGAAAUCUUGAAGCAGCGAGCAGGAUCCAGAGUACCACGAGACACGAGAAACCUUGUGGGAAGCCGGGGGGACCACCCCCCAAGCCUAAAUACUCCCUAGUGACCGAUAGUGAAGCAGUACUGUGAAGGAAAGGUGAAAAGGACCCCGGGAGGGGAGUGAAAGAGAACCUGAAACCUUGUGCUUACAAACAGUCAAAGGCCUACGGGCUGAUGGCGUACUUUUUGUAGAACGGUCCGGCGAGUUACUAAUGCCAGCGAGGUUAAGAUGUCAGAAGCAUCGGAGCCGAAGGGAAACCAAGUCUGAAUAGGGCGUAGAGUUGGUAUUAGUAGACCCGAAACCGGGUGACCUAUCCAUGUCCAGGUUGAAGGAACCGUAAAAGGUUUUGGAGGACCGAACACACAUGUGUUGAAAAACGUGGUGAUGAGGUGUGGAUAGCGGAGAAAUUCCAAUCGAACUCGGAGAUAGCUGGUUCUCCUCGAAAUAGCUUUAGGGCUAGCCUCGAGCUGGAGUCUAACGGAGGUAAAGCACUGAACUGACGCGGGGCCCAAAAAGGUUACCAACUCAUAUCAAACUAAGAAUGCCGUCAAGAUACCCUCGGGAGUCAGUCUGCGUGAGAUAAGUCGCGUGGACAAAAGGGAAAGAGCCCAGACCGACAGCUAAGGUCCCAAAGUACGUGUUAAGUGGAAAAGGAUGUGGGAUUUCAUAGACAACUAGGAUGUUGGCUUAGAAGCAGCCAUACAUUUAAAGAGUGCGUAAUAGCUCACUAGUCGAGAAAACCUGCGCCGAAAAUGUAACGGGGCUAAAACACGACACCGAAGCUACGGAUUUCCUACAAGGUAGGAAGUGGUAGAGGAGCAUCCUGCAAGGACGAAGCCAAAGUGAGAGCGAUGGUGGACGAAACAGGAGAGAGAAUGCCGGAAUGAGUAGCGAGAUACAUGUGAGAAACAUGUAGGCCGAAUAUCUAAGGAUUCCUGGGUAAAGCUAAUCUUCCCAGGGUUAGUCGGGGCCUAAGGCGAGGACGAAAGUCGUAGUCGAUGGAUAACAGGUUGAUAUUCCUGUACUACACAUAAUCAGAACUGUGGGGACGCAGGAGGAUAGGGAAACCGGGGAAUGGAAAGACCCGGUCAAGCGUAAAGCUGUGGGAGAUAGGCAAAUCCGUCUCCUGUAAGUGAAACGUGAUGAGGACUGAAAAAAAGUAAGGAAGUUUCCGAAUCCACACUGCCGAGAAAAGCCGCUAUUGCGUUAUGUGUACCCGUACCGUAAACCGACACAGGUAGAUGAGGAGAAAAUCCACAGGCCGACGGGAGAAGUGUUGUUAAGGAACUCGGCAAAAUGACCCCGUAACUUCGGGAUAAGGGGAGCCUCGCAAGAGGCCGCAGAAAAGAGGCACAAGCAACUGUUUAGCAAAAACAUAGGUCUAUGCGAAACCGUAAGGUGAAGUAUAUGGGCUGACGCCUGCCCGGUGCUGGAAGGUUAAAAGGAGAGGUCAGCGCAAGCGAAGCUUUGAAUUCAAGCCCCAGUAAACGGCGGCCGUAACUAUAACGGUCCUAAGGUAGCGAAAUUCCUUGUCAGGUAAGUUCUGACCCGCACGAAUGG
rnacentral:rRNA from 1 species